rnacentral:rRNA from 1 species
CUCUAGGUCGGGGACAACCACUGGAAACGGUGGCUAAUACCGGAUGUGCCGAAAGGUGAAAGAUUUAUUGCCUAGAGAUGAGCUCGCGUCUGAUUAGCUAGUUGGUGUGGUAAGAGCGCACCAAGGCGACGAUCAGUAGCUGGUCUGAGAGGAUGAUCAGCCACACUGGGACUGAGACACGGCCCAGACUCCUACGGGAGGCAGCAGUGGGGAAUUUUCCGCAAUGGGCGAAAGCCUGACGGAGCAAUACCGCGUGAGGGAGGAAGGCUCUUGGGUUGUAAACCUCUUUUCUCAGGGAAUAAGAAAGUGAAGGUACCUGAGGAAUAAGCAUCGGCUAACUCCGUGCCAGCAGCCGCGGUAAUACGGAGGAUGCAAGCGUUAUCCGGAAUGAUUGGGCGUAAAGCGUCCGCAGGUGGCACUGUAAGUCUGCUGUUAAAGAGCAAGGCUCAACCUUGUAAAGGCAGUGGAAACUACAGAGCUAGAGUACGUUCGGGGCAGAGGGAAUUCCUGGUGUAGCGGUGAAAUGCGUAGAGAUCAGGAAGAACACCGGUGGCGAAAGCGCUCUGCUAGGCCGUAACUGACACUGAGGGACGAAAG